CAUCUUACUGUACCCACAACAGUCGCCGCAGCGAUCAUGGCAACUUCUUGCAAUUACGGUCGUACCAACCGUACUGGCAAGGUUACAGGGCCUAAAUUUAUACAGGUUUCGUCAUGAGGGCUACCCAGUGAAUAAUCUGUGCAGAGUGAUACGGCUGGGUGUACAGGUUACUUCACAGCUGCCUCGACAUACUCAAGAAAUGGGUGCAGAACCUGCGUAAUGCCCACAAACUUUGACUACCACAGCACCUCCAGAAAGUAAAGGCAUA